GAUGAACGCUGGCGGCGUGCCUAAUACAUGCCAGUCGAGCGAACGGACGAGAAGCUUGCUUCUCUGAUGUUAGCGGCGGACGGGUGAGUAACACGUGGAUAACCUACCUAUAAGACUGGGAUAACUUCGGGAAACCGGAGCUAAUACCGGAUAAUAUUUUGAACCGCAUGGUUCAAAAGUGAAAGACGGUCUUGCUGUCACUUAUAGAUGGAUCCGCGCUGCAUUAGCUAGUUGGUAAGGUAACGGCUUACCAAGGCAACGAUGCAUAGCCGACCUGAGAGGGUGAUCGGCCACACUGGAACUGAGACACGGUCCAGACUCCUACGGGAGGCAGCAGUAGGGAAUCUUCCGCAAUGGGUGAAAGCCUGACGGAGCAACGCCGCGUGAGUGAUGAAGGUCUUCGGAUCGUAAAACUCUGUUAUUAGGGAAGAACAUAUGUGUAAGUAACUGUGCACAUCUUGACGGUACCUAAUCAGAAAGCCACGGCUAACUACGUG
rnacentral:rRNA from 1 species